GACACAAUCCCACACUGCUGAAGUCCCGCAGACUCCACCCCAGCUGCUGGCUGACAGAUUCCCGAACUGUCAACACCAAAUAACACCCAAUUAAUAAUUGGGUUCUAACACAGAACUAAAAAUACAUGCUUUGGAUAAUUACUACAUUACCCCUAGCCUGGCUUACCCAAGCCCAAGGCCCAUUCCAUAGACCCAAAGUCAACUACGGAUCAAAGCCCAACAUAUGGCCCAAUUCUUCAUAUGGGCCUUCCCUUAAAGCCCAACUAAUUACUCUAGUCCAUUUGAUUAUUCUCGGAUGGCCCACACAAAGCCCAAGUGAAAUUAGGGUUUCACAUCAAAUGAUAACUAGGGUUAAGUGUUUCUUACUUAACCCAAUAAGGACUUAACACACUAGGGACUUAAUCCAUUAAGGACUUAAUCCACUAAGUCCUUUAUUGCUUAGAUUAAUUUCUGCCAAUGGUUAUUAUUUAAUAUUCAUUUAUUAAAUAAUUUUCGUGUGUGUGCUAAUAAUCUCUCAAAUAUUAGUAUUUUCUCAAUUAGCCCAUUAAGGACUUAAUUCAUUAAGUCCUUUAAUCUACUAGAUAAAUGGCAUGGAAUAGUUUGGGCUUAAUUCACAAUCCAAUCCCAAUGGCCCACAAGUGGGCCCAAUAAGUCUAAGGCCCAAAACUCAUAAUUAGGGUUUUCCACCCAAACAUGGCCCAAUAGGCCCAAAACCAAUAUCUAAGCCCAUUAGGGUUUGCUAGCGGGGCACCACCCACUACCACCUCGGGUAGUGGUGGUCGAUGGCAGCUCACGGGGGCGGCCACCACCUUAUGAUGGUGGUUAUUAUUAUUUUUAUUAUUCAAUUUCCUAAUUACAAUUACAGGGCUUUAAUCCAAAAUACACACACUCACUAAUACACACACUAACUAAUACACACACACACACACCCAACCACACCAUGGUGGCCGGCGGUGGCGAUUGGUGGCGAUGGCCCUUUCUCAAUUUUCCGGCCAAAUAAACUCCCACACGCCUCUCCAUUGAAAUAAACCCACACCUACAAGCUUCUAAUUUGCAAGGUUCACCCCAGCCACCAACUUAGUGGCUCACGACAGCAACGACAUCACCGGAAGGCGGCAGUAGCAGCGGCCACCAUGGCAGGCGGCCAUGGUGGUUCUUGUCUUCGAAUUCCGGCCAGCAACAAUCUCACAGCACCUCUCGGUUCAACACAACAGGUGAUAACCCAUGUAGACUCGACUGCCCCUUCGGGGUGGCGAUCAUUACCAGAGCAGCAGAGACAACCCCAUGACGGCGAAAGGAGCGAAAAGAGAAGAGAAGAACGGCGGAAAUGGUGCUAGAACAAGAAAACAACACCCGAGGGUCACCCGAUAGCAACAAUUCCAGCUUCGUGUUCACAGAAAAGAACGAAAAGGAAAGGAGGUGAGUGGCGGUUGGGUCUUACCGUCCGUUUCUCGAUCAUUCACACCUAACAGUUGACAAACGCUGCUCCAAAGAUCGAUCCUCAGUGAUUAUUCGUGUUGUUCAUGACGUCUCCGACAUCACUGUUAUGGUGCUCAUCAACAACGGUGGACGAUGGCUACCCAGUUGAUCGGAACAGUAGACUAGGGGGGACGACUUCAUACA
rnacentral:lncRNA from 1 species